UUAAUUCAUGCGUCUUAUUUAAUUUCUUUUAUUGGUCUAUUUAUUUUUAUUUGAUGUUAAGAUUGAGGGGGAUUAGCUCCUUGUUUUAUUUUUAUAAUUGAUUGAUGAUUAAUUUACUUUUGUGGAUUUUAUGGUGAUUUUCUAUUUGAUUAUGUUAAAAUUUUAUUUGUUCUUUUUUUAAUUUUUUUUAAUUUAAGUUAUUUAUUGAAAUGUUUUCUUUACUUUUGGUUUGAGUAGUAAUUAUUGUGUAAUUAGUAAAUUUUGUUGGUUAGUUUGUGAGAAGAGGUUAUGGGUGUUAGUUGCUUUUGAGGAAUUCGGCAAAUUUUAUGUCCGCCUGUUUAACAAAAACAUCUUUUCUUGUUAGUUUUUGAAGUAUGGCCUGCCCGCUGACUGUGAGUUGAAGGGCCGCGGUAUUUUGACCGUGCAAAGGUAGCAUAAUCAUUAGUUCUUUAAUUGUGAUCUGGUAUGAAUGGCUUGACGAGACAUGGACUGUCUUAGAUGUAUUGUUUUAUUGAAUUUGGUUUUUGAGUUAAAAUUCUUAAAUGUUUUUAUGGGACGAGAAGACCCUAUAGAGUUUGACAGGUUUCUCGCUUAUUCGUUGUUUGUUAUUUUACAUUGAGUGGGAAAUGGACUGUUUUGUUGGGGUGAUGGGAGGAAUAAUAUUUAACUCCUCCUUGUUUUUAUAUAUUUAUGUAUAUUUUUUUGAUCCAUUUAUUUUGAUUAUAAGAUUAAAUUACC
rnacentral:rRNA from 2 species